CCCGUCACUCCCCAUGGCUCUUCUUCACUGCUCUUACCCCAUCCGAAUUCUUUUCCUUGUUUGGGGGGCUGUUUACUGUCUGUCUCCUUCGGCAGGAUAUAAGCUCAUUGUGAGCAUCUCUGGGACCCCAGGGCCUGGAACAGAGCCUGACACAGAGGGGCUUCUUCACAGGUCUCUGGUGAACACGUGGAUAACGCGCAAACCACUGAUUUCCGCGGUAAGAGACGGCAAGUCAGGAGGCGGCAGUACCCUGCGAGGAGAGUGGGGUUAUGGAGCUGAUCUGAGAUGAGGACCCAGAAGGCUGCUCAAGGGGCAGAGCCCAGGAAACAGGAGGAUCUACAGGACCCUGGGAAGGGGGAAGAUCAGAAACAGGGAAGGAAUCAUCCAAUUAAAGGAGUGUAUGGUAGAGCUUUCCACCGUAUACUGAGAAGGUCUACAUGACUCAGUGAACCAGCAUUUUCCAAAUGAUGGAUGCAGAAUGAUACAAAAUCAUGCAAGGACAAAAGACCCGUUCCAAGUGCCAAACAGACCAGUACAUUUUCACGUAACAGAGUAAGAAACAUUCAUUUUUAGAUUCUACGUUGCAAUUCAUCUUUAAGAAACUACUAUUUGUUGGAUUUUGGCAUAGUAUCAAAGAAGGAUGUCCACAAUUAUGUGAGAAGGAUAUUAAGAUACUCCACACUGUUCCGACUACAUAUCUAUGUGAGGCCAGAGUUUUGCCAAUCCUUCAACCAAAACAACAUAUUGCAACAGACUGAAUACAAAAGGCGCUGUGGGAACCCAGCUGUCUUCUGCUAAGGACAUUAAAGAGAUUUGCAAAAGUGUAAAACAAUGCCACUCUUUUCACUAGAUAUUUUGUUUGGGAAAGUAAAAUUAUUUUUCAUAAAAACAUUUAUGUUAA